rnacentral:rRNA from 1 species
UAGCUUGCUAGAGAGGAAGUGGCGGACGGUGAGUAAUGUGUAGAGUAUCUGCCUUUAGAGGGGACAACAGUUGGAAACGACUGCUAAUACCCCAUAUGAGCGUACCUGCAAUGGUAUUCUUGAAAACUCCGGUGCUAAAGGAUGAGUCUGCAUCUGAUUAGCUAGUAGGCGGUGUAAUGGACCACCUAGGCGACGAUCAGUAGCUGGUUUGAGAGGAUGAUCAGCCACAAUGGGACUGAGACACGGCCCAUACUCCUACGGGAGGCAGCAGUAGGGAAUUUUGCGCAAUGGGGGAAACCCUGACGCCAGCAACGCCGCGUGAAUGAAGAAGCCCUUCGGGGUGUAAAGUUCUGUCAGUGGGGACGAAACUUGACGGUACCCACAGAGGAAGCAUCGGCUAACUCCGUGCCAGCAGCCGC